UCGUUCUAUCUAAUUAAAAGUGAGAUGUAUUUAGUUAUUUACUAUCAAUUUCUAAGUAUUGAUAGUAAGUCUGGGUGGCGUGGGUGCAGACAACAGAAUUUGUUUAUUUACGUUUUUUAAAGGUUGGGCUUAUUGGCCCCCGAUUUCCGGGGUGAAGUAUCCAUUGUUGUUCCUUGGACGACCUCUCUUUUGAUGAGCUGCUGGAAGAUGUAGGGCAUUCCAAGAUGGUGCUAAUAACUAAUUGUUAUUGACUUCUUCCACAACCGGAAUAGGAUCCAGCACCAAAAUCUGUUCAACAUGAGUAAUAUGUUCAGAAGGAGCCGCAGCGUGCAUCAACUCAACUGACUUGCCUUCUUUGAUUACUUCAUUGAUCUUUUGUAGUAGUUGUAAUUUUUCGUCAAAAUCUGAUUCAGCUAAUGAACUCAGUGUGUCUGCCAUCUUCCUAAAAAAAGCCAUCGCAAUAUUGUACUGGUCCCUGUCAGUUAUGGGCUUUUUGGUAAGCUUCUUGGAGUGAUGCAUUCCAGUCGGUGAAGAAACACUUGCUGGGACGGUAUCAUCAGUCUGUUUAACAAAAUUUGUUCAAUACCUCUAGACACUGAUUAGCCCAAUGUUCAGCAAAGGCCCCGACAGGAAUUUCCAUGUUGUUUGUAACAUGGAAGCUAAUUAUGUGACGACAAGGAAGACCGAAAUCCAUGAAGAACUUGCAAGUACAGCCAGUUAAAUCUUGUUUCAAAAAGUAUGUGGUUUUACUAGAAGCAAUGCUGUAUGUGGCCAAUUCCUGCAAUGAAUAAAAGUUCUUAGUUUCCAGGCAUAAGUCGAUAUUGAUUCAGCAAAUUUCUCCAGCAGCGGGUGCCUCUCCUUUGUGUUAAACCGUACUUCUCGAAUAGAUUGUUUAAGUUGUCUAUCACUCAGGCGAAGUAAUACGAGGUUUACCAAUCUUCUGAUGACUUCUGGCAGACGCUUGUUUUUUUAAGAACCUCUUUGAGAGUACGGUGAUAGCUAGAAAAUAUUUUUUAAUUUUAAUCCCACUUUGGUAAUAUGGAGAUUAUAAAGUAUAUACCGUUCAAUGCGAUUUGUUGUGUUGUUUCCAAAAGUAGGUAGGUGUCGACGUCCGAGAUAGCUCCACUUAUCCGAAAUGUUGAACCAAUUUUCUUCAAAGUAUGCCGCAACCACUUUACCUAUAAAUCAGCAGUUUCGACUUGGCUUCGGCGAAAUCUUCUUCCGUUACUGCAUAAAGUGCCGCACGGAACCAUUGCCUUAUUUCAUUCUUUUGCUCGAGGCUAAGAAAUAUCCAUUACUGUAGUUGAGUGUCGAUCGCCUUCAAUACGUGAAAGUGACAAAGAAUGCCGGUAGCUGCAGUAAAAAAAUUGGCUAAAGCCGCAAUCUCUGCGCAGUCUUUAUCUGUAACAGUGACUUUCGUUGGCUUAACGUCGUUGUUCUGAAAUUUAAAAAUAUUAAUUAUUAUUUUGUUAUAAUAGUUUACUUUUUAAGGUAAUACCUCAGUGAAAAUCUGCAGACAUUCAGAUAUAGCUUCCUUUGUCUCUUCCUUGAUAAAAAAGAACGCGACGGGUUGACUAGCUCCAUUGUUAUCGUGAAUCAUCAAGUGGUAAAGCGCAAAGCCAGAUUUGUUCGAUCCCUGGAUGAAAAUCGCGUUGACUUCAUCAUCGGAAUUCUGCAGCACCUUAAUUACGUGGUUGGGAUUUGAUUGGAGUUCUUUUAGAUAUUUCGCUGUUUCCUGCCAUUCCUCUCGGGAAUUUCCUACAAAAUGAGAUUAUUAUUUUUUAAAACUUAAGUAUAAGCAAAUUUAAUGAAAUUACCUAGUAAUGAUUGCUUAAUGUUCGUAAUGUCCUUUCCCAAGAGAUUUGUUCCGUACUUGUCCUGAAGGAUUUUCCUGAGGAUGGUGGGUUGAGCUCCAGCGGUGAGGGUGUCCUUUGCGAAUUCAAGCGCCUCAGGACCCAUGUUCCUAUAAAAAAUUAUUAAAAAUUUAAUAAAUAUUGUAAUUUAAAAAUUUAAUUUAAAAAUUCUGAUUUACUUACUUUUCCUUGCAUAAGUUUGUAUAUGCAAUUCUGAGACCGGGUGGUUUUUAUGAUCAAGUUCCAUUUUCACAAUUUCAAAAUUUUUCUUAAACAAAUUAAAUCUGAAAUGAAUUCGCACUGGACAUUCACAGUACAUGAUAUUUUGUUCAACACGCAUAUUUUUGGUUUGCCUUGGUUUCCGGGACACGGAAUGGGGACACACGUAAGUACAUUCUUUAUAAACAUAUUUUUCAUCAAUUUUCUUGUCUUCACUUUUAACACUCUUAUUCCAACUCUUAACUGUCUGUAAUGGUUUGUCUAAA